GAUUUCUGGCUUAGUGCGCCUGGCCCGCCGCGGUUACGUGUGUGAGUGCCGGGUCGCGCUUGCCAUCCUUCUAGAGAACGUCUCUACUCUUAACUGAGCCGGGGGCGCAAUCUAGAUCUUUUACUUUGAAAAAAUUAGAGUGUUUAAAGCAGGCAUUUGCUAUGAAUACAUUAGCAUGGAAUAAUAAUCUAGGACUUUCGGUUCUAUUUUGUUGGUGUUCUGGAGCUGAAGUAAUGAUUGAUAGGGAUAGUUGGGGGUGCUAGUAUUCAAUGGCCAGAGGUGAAAUUCUCGGAUUCCUUGAAGACUAACUUAUGCGAAAGCAUU
rnacentral:rRNA from 1 species